AUUGACACUUACUCGAUCGUCAUUUAACAAAAACAAAAAACAAAAAAAAAAAAAAGAAAGAAAGAAAGAAAAAAAGAAAGACAACCAAAAAUCCAAGAUAUAACUGGAUUUCUCAUCGAUAACGAAUGAAAGAUAACAUCGAAGAGCAUCUCAAAGAAUUGUAAGUUCGUUUGGUUUUUAGAUUAUUCGACAAUAAUAUGGUUACGAAUGCCCGUGCAAGGCUUAUAUCAGACUAGCGUUAUUAAACACUGCUAAAACUCCUUACACAUGUAUACAUCCACGCAUUUAGACAUUUUCAUAACAUUUUACGAAAAUAUUCAUUUCGUUUUCUUUUCUCUUUCCUUUCUUCACGGCGCGUAUACUCGUCUCGUAUAGAAUAAGACAUAUUUUUUCAAAAAAGGAAACAGUUUUUUUAAUCUCUAAUAAAUGAAUAGCAGGCAUUUUAGAACAUUAUUUAUACCAAAUGCAUAUUUUAUCUAGAGUCUCGUGCGAAUAUUAUAUAUAAAUAUAAACUAUACGCGAUGUUACGUUACAUGUCUAUUAAACAAAGUUGUGGUUUCAUUCGAAUGCAAAAAUUAUGGCUAAUAAUAUAACUAAUAUAAUACGAAUAAUUGCACAAUACUAGCCAUUACGUACAUAAAAAUAUUGACUGAUUUUUAGUAUCGUUCAUAAAUAUGUAUAAACGUAUUUGUCGUAUAAAGUAUAAUUUAAAAAAAAAAUUAAAAUGUGUAUUGCAAAAAAAAAAAGGAAAAAAAAUCAAAAUAUAAAUCUGAAUCGGAGCGUGCAUCGUAUAUGUAAUACUAUAGUGUCAUGAACGUACAUGCUAAUAUGUGAAAAAUACAGAUUCGCAAUCGUUAUAAAACUAGUUGUAUUUUUAAAUUUUGAUUUAACGCGAAUGUAAAAUACUUUGUAUGUCGAGUAAUUCAGGGUAACACUCUAGUCAUUUAUACAAUGAGAAAGUUGUUUAUAGAUUCACAAAUAGAUACCACACGCACAUACCAUGUGAACUAUAAAUGACUUUUAAAAUUUCAAAAUUAUUGCUUGCAACGUCGCUUAUUAUCUAUUUUUAUUAUCAUUUAAUCAUUUGUCAUCGUUGCUGUAUAUUUAGUACUGUCGUCUUAUGUCGUAAUUUUUGCUGUCCCGAGUAGAGAAUGAAACGCUGAAUAAAAUGGCUAGAGUGCGAGCAUCUUCUCUUUUUAAUAAAUAUAUAAUAGAACAAAAAAAAAAAAAAAAAAAUGUGCCACAUUAAAUAUACACAUAAUUAAAUAUAAUGUAUGAUUUUACAACCAGCAUUAAAACAAAAGGAAUUAAAUAUAUAGUAAAGCACCAAUGCUUAACUGCUUGAUUAUUCUAAAGAAGAACAGUUAAAAAAAAGAUGUUGAAAGAUUAUAAUCCUGUACGCGUUUGUUAUACAUACAAAAGCACGUGAUAUGUUGAGAAUUAAUCGUUAACAUGUAUAUAGUGAAUUUUGUUGUUUGAGAUGUCUUUUGUGGUAUUCGUAUGAUAACAAAAAAAUUAAGUUUGAAAAUAUAUCUAUACUAUAUAUACACUACACAUGAUUAUUUAAAUAACAAAAAUUUAUUGCGCUUUCCUAUGAUACCACAUCGGAAGGAACUUCUUACAAAAUUUCACCUAGCUCGGCAUAAAGAAAAAAAAUUGCUUUAUAAUAAACUAUCGUUAUAUGAUGCAAACGAUUUUGCAUAUAUUGUACAUUGCAAAAGUAGUCAGAGCAAUGGUUGACAUAUGAGAAACAGAUUUAUGGCAAUUAUUUGUUGCUAUUGAAAAUUCACGAUUAUACCAAUAACUAAUAAUAAAAUUAUAUGGAUACAUUAUAAUAUCAUCGGUAACACAAGAGGUAUGAGAAAUGUAUAUUGUAUUAUCUAUUAUACUUAUAUAUAUAUAUAUAUUUUAUAAUUUAUAUUUAAUCGUGUACUAGUUAAAAAUAUACUAUUUUUAGGUAGACAUCUAAAAAAAUAAUGAAGAGUUUAACAUAUAUUGUACGCCGUAUUCUUUUUAGUAAUAUCGUUAAUAACAUAAAACAUGUAAUGUAAUACGAAGCAUGGAAAUGUUAAGCAACUAACAGAGCUAUAGCGUUAAAAUACCAACUAAUCAAUAAUAAAUUCAGUGUACAUAAUGUAAAGAAAGAUAAAUAGCAUAAAUUUAAUGACUCGUCUAAAAGUUUUGUUUGUAAUUUUAUCACACGAGCUCAUCAAAGAUACACUGUUACCGUAAUGUCACUAUGCUCCUGUUGAAUUUUGUAACUGUUAUGACAGUGUGUCAUCUUUGGUGAGCUAUUACUUUAUCUUUCCUCCAAUUAGUUGAACCGUUCAAGCUCGACGUGUAUGCCUUAAGUACAAUGUUUACAUUAACAUUUCUUCUUACCGAUUUUAUUACCACCAAUGCAUGUUGUGAAUUAAUUGUAUCAAUAUGGUGUGGCUUCUACUUUUCUUUGCUCUACUUUGUACAUGUUCUUUAUGUUUGCGUUGUAUAUCAUCCAGCAGUACGUGUCAACUUACUGUCUACUUUUGCUAUGUACUAUCUGUCGACCUUUACACGUUUUUGAAAUUAUUCUUUUGUUGUACCAAAAAGAAAAAAAAAAAAGAAUAUGUAUUUCACACAAUCCAUUCCACAAUUCCUAUAGGAGGUUACCUUAUGUCGAAACGGGGCAUGAAUAUUUUUGAACUUGUUCUAUUUGUGAAUGAGAAUGAGAAAAGUCGAAAACAGAGAAUUACAUACGGGUAAAAACAAUCGUUAUCGAUAUGACCUGUGAAACCUGCUGUAUGGUAGUAUCAUGUAUUUACAUUACUUAAUUGUACACCUAAUUUCAUUGAAGAGGGGGGAAAUUCUUUUGUAUGUUAAUUGUGUUUUUCACACGUACACUUUACGUUACGCCAUAGAAUUUUCAUAUAAGUUCACAAGCAUAUACAAAAUGCUUUUUAUAGCUGCUUUACAGUAUUAAAGUAGCUGCCUUUCGAACUAUUAGUCAGGAGAAUAGUGCUGAUGAAAGACGAUUAUCGCGAAUCGAAAUCUAUUCUAAGAUAAGUUCUCAGGACAAGUGUUUGUUUUUGUACUUAUAGUUUCGUACGAGACGAAUGUUUCGAUGAAAUUCGGCAAACCGUAUAUAUUAUAGUUGUUGAUUCUUUGCUUCCUCCGUUUGUUCGUUUUUACAUUUCUUAGAUACACGUUAGAUAUUUCAAACAUAGCUUAUACAUUAUGGAGAUUAGGAACAUAGUCACUAACGAACAAUUGUAUGAGUAUUGUACAUAUUAAUUCUAGUAAGAUUCCAGCGUUCGACCACGAGUCGUCUGGCAAUUGGCUUAGCCAAUUUAGUAAUUGUAAUUUCACGUUGGAAAUUACAAUGCGCUGACGCAGUAGCUACCUAGUGUUUAAUCGUAUUAUUUAGUAUUUGUAUGUUUUUCCUUUCGCUGAUUUUAUAGCAAACAAAACAACGUGACCAACAACCUGUUAGACCUAACGGAAUUCGACUCUCUCAGUAAUAGCAGUAGUGGUCCAAUACUCCAACUGACAUCCAAUUUGGCCAACGAAGACACCCUCAACUCGAACCUAAAUCCAGCAGCUAUACCUUUCACUCCAAUGGCCAACACAUACAUGCCCACCGCUGCUAAUGCCAAUGUAAAUCCGUUCCAGGAUUCUUUCAUGAAUAACAAACCACAAGAUAAUAGUCAAGUACCAGAUCUUUUAUCAUAAUGCGCGUAUUAAACAUUCUGGGGAAUGGAAGAGGAACGGAUUCAUUGGAUUCAGAGAUAUACCAUGUUGCUUUGCAGCGAGUAAUAGGUAUAACGAGAUAUUCGAGGCAAGCUGUCAUUUAUGAGAUAAUGUAAAUAAGCGCUAUCGAUGUGUAGAAAAUGCGGAGAGACCUAAGGUAGAGAAAAACGGGGGGCACUACGUCAAAAAGGAAAUGGAAAAAAUAAAAAUAAAGAAGAAAACUACUUUGUCCUUGAACGUCACGAAAAAUGUAAAAUAAUAUAUAAUGUUAAUUAAUAAUAUUAUGUAACAGCAAAUAGGCACUCAGUCCAUUAUAGUAUGCUAUUAGAUGUAAAUCUAAUCUUUUAGAAGACCUUUGAAGGGAAUAAGGCCUGUUUAUAACAUAUUGAUUUUCAAAUAACGAGUAUACAUUUUAUUGUAUUGAAUUGCAUUAAAUUAAUUUCACACGUGAUUUUCGUCCAUGCUGUGUAACGUGUGUCGCGUUCGAAAAGUUUUAAUCCCGGGAAUUUUUUUUUUACGAAACACACAGAUUUUAUUCGGAUUUGACAAACAAACGCGAACUAAUCGGUGUACGAUGAAAUCCUUUAUGCGUAAACGUGUAAAACGGCUUGACAAACAUUGCACAAGACGGUGUGAAUUGGUUGAAAUAUAUCUUGUAUCUGCCAAAAUGACGUAGGAGGUAAGCUCCAAUGAUUGUCUUUACAUAAGAGAUAGUGUAAUAUUACCUUAUAGAAUUUGAGUAUAGAAAACGAUUACAUAUAUAGUCAUAUCUAGUAAGAUCCUCUGCAGAUAUGAUGUAAAAAAAAAAAAAGAAAAAAAAAGAAAAAGAAAUAAAAAGGAACACAUUUCUUCCAUACUACAUUUUGGGGCGUGCGCUCACUAGUCAAGCAAUUUUACUGUUUUUAUCAUAUUCUUUUUUUUUUUCUAUAUUAUUAAUAUUAUUAUUUUCCCUUUUUUUUUUUUUAGAAAACUCACGUAAUAUCGGUACUCUAGGUAUCACCCACUAGACUUCAUUACUAUUACGUUUUCGCGAAUCUAACAUAAAUUUUCUAGCUGUGAUGAUAACGACGAUGACGACGAAGACGACGAAGACGACGAUUGCUUUGUGAAAUAGCCACUGCAUACGUUUAUGAAAUAAGAGACCGAUAGCUACCGUUAUACUUUGCUUAUGUAAAUGAUGUUUCACUAGCUACAAUAAGGGAACGAAAUGCAAAUCUACGAUUACACGUUUCACAGUCAAAAGUAAGAUAUAUCAUAGCAUAAUUAUUAAUGAGAAUCGCAGCGAAAACGCUCGGACUCGUGAAAUAUAUAUACAUAUACAUACAUAUAUACACACACAUAUAUUUUCUGGUAAUUGGAUCGAACAAAAUUGAAAGGUCGCGUUGCGUUAAUCAUUAUACAUAGUAGUGGCUAUUCAUUCUAGUGGUAUCAUACUAGUAUACAGAUAGAAAAUGAUAAUUUUAAAGCCUGAUGUUAUUGAGCAAACGUUGUAAUUGGUGUCUAAGACAUGAGUUAUUUGUUAUUAUUGUGGCAUACUAUUAUAAAGAAAAUCAAUAUAAUUAGCAUGCUUUGUGUUUAACACCUGCGCAAAACACGCGGGUGCAUGAUCUUGUCUCAAAUACAAAGUUGUUCAUACGAAAGGGUUAAUUAAGUGCACAUCCUGAUUAACCUGAGUCUCGAGUAGCAGAAAUGAAGAAAAAUCAAAGAGAAAAAAAGGGUCAUCGACAUGCCCGAAACGAUUAUCACCGAUCUAUAUACCGAACUCUAUGUUGUUUAUUUUCUCUUUCUUUUUAUGUUUGUGCUACGUAUGAUAUAGUCGAAAUUCUCUUGAAUUCUUUCUGCAUAUGUCCCAUUGCGAUCGAUUUAAAAGAAUUUCACGCUGCAUGCUUGCUACCGGUUCUAUUUUCCUCGAAAUUGUUUAAUUUAAGGACUCCGAGCACACACACACACACAUACACAUAUAUAUACACGUAAUGCCACAGUGUUUUAUAUCCCAAGAUAAUUUGUAUCACGCAAAUGAAGAAACCUAAGAACUAGAUAUUUUAACGAUGAAACAAAAGGGGGGAGGCGGAGAGAAAUUAUGUAUUUUUAUCGAGAAAAAUUGUAGCACACCGCUGUACAGAAGUAUAUGAUCCUAAGACACUUUUAAUUGCCUAAGCUUCUUAAGCGCAUAGUUAAACGAUAUCGCGAAUGAAAUCGAAUCAAUUUUACGUAUCACGACUCGGUUUACUCCACGUGGAUUAUUUUCAACCAUGAAACCUUUCCAAGACAGAACCAUGCAAUGACUAUAUUAUCGAGUUUAUUUAUUCAAACUAUUCUAUUCGGUCUAACUAAAACUAUUCUAUAAGGACACAUAAUAAUAAUAAUAACUAUAAUAAUUAAUAACAGUAAUAAUAAUCCCAAUACAUACGAACAAAUGUUUCUAAACAUUACAAAUACUGAGAAUGCUAAAUAUCAUCAGUCACAUGUCUAAAAAUACUUCGUAUUGUAUAAAUGCUUGUAUGUAAUAAAUACUUAAUAUUGAAAAUAAAA